rfam:Homo sapiens chromosome 15, GRCh38 reference primary assembly.
GCCGGGCAUGGUGGCGGGUGCCUGUAAUCCCAGCUACUUGGGAGGCUGAGGCAGAAGAAUCGCUUGAACCUGGGAGGUGGAGGCUGCAGUGAGCCGAGAUCGCGCCACUGCACUCCAGCCUGGGCAACAAAGUGAGACUCUGCCUCAA